rnacentral:rRNA from 1 species
CAGUGAAUCAUCGAAUCUUUGAACGCACCUUGCGCUCCUUGGUAUUCCGAGGAGCAUGCCUGUUUGAGUGUCUUG